rnacentral:rRNA from 1 species
GACGAACGCUGGCGGCGUGCCUAAUACAUGCAAGUAGAACGCUGAAGGAGGAGCUUGCUUCUCCGGAUGAGUUGCGAACGGGUGAGUAACGCGUAGGUAACCUGCCUGGUAGCGGGGGAUAACUAUUGGAAACGAUAGCUAAUACCGCAUAACAGUAGAUAUCGCAUGAUAGCUGCUUGAAAGGUGCAAUUGCACCACUACCAGAUGGACCUGCGUUGUAUUAGCUAGUUGGUGAGGUAACGGCUCACCAAGGCAACGAUACAUAGCCGACCUGAGAGGGUGAUCGGCCACACUGGGACUGAGACACGGCCCAGACUCCUACGGGAGGCAGCAGUAGGGAAUCUUCGGCAAUGGACGGAAGUCUGACCGAGCAACGCCGCGUGAGUGAAGAAGGUUUUCGGAUCGUAAAGCUCUGUUGUAAGAGAAGAACGAGUGUGAGAGUGGAAAGUUCACACUGUGACGGUAUCUUACCAGAAAGGGACGGCUAACUACGUG